rnacentral:rRNA from 1 species
AGCUCCAAUAGCGUAUAUUAAAGUUGUUGCGGUUAAAAAGCUCGUAGUUGGAUUUCUGUUGGUGACGGCCCGUCCGUGCUAUGCGCGUGUAUGAGGUUCGACGCCGGCAUCCUUGUGGGGAACGUCUUCGCGCUUAACUGCGUGGGGCGGAAUUCACAACUUUUACUUUGAGGAAAUUAGAGUGUUCACGGCAGGCAAUCGCCUUGAAUAUAUUAGCAUGGAAUAAUAACAUAGGACCUUGAUUCUAUUUUGUUGGUUUCUAGAAUUUAGGUAAUGAUUAAUAGGGACAAUUGGGGGCAUUUGUAUUAACACGUCAGAGUGGAAUUCUUGGAUUGUGUUACGACAACUACUGCGAAAGCAUUUGCCAAGGAUGUUUUCA